rnacentral:rRNA from 1 species
AUCGAACGCUGGCGGAAUGCUUUACACAUGCAAGUCGAACGGCAGCACGGGGCAACCUGGUGGCGAGUGGCGAACGGGUGAGUAAUACAUCGGAACGUGCCCAAUCGUGGGGGAUAACGUCGCGAAAGUUACGCUAAUACCGCAUACCACCUACGGAUGAAAGCGGGGGAUUGCAAGACCUCGCGCGAAUGGAGCGGCCGAUGUCAGAUUAGGUAGUUGGUGGGGUAGAGGCUCACCAAGAAAACGAUCUGUAGCUGGUCUGAGAGGACGACCAGCCACACUGGGACUGAGACACGGCCCAGACUCCUACGGGAGGCAGCAGUGGGGAAUUUUGGACAAUGGGCGCAAGCCUGAUCCAGCCAUUCCGCGUGCAGGAUGAAGGCCUUCGGGUUGUAAACUGCUUUUGUACGGAACGAAACGGUUCUCUCUAAUACAGGGGGCUGAUGACGGUACCGUAAGAAUAAGCACCGGCUAACUACGUGCCAGCAGCCGCAGUAACAC